GAAAAUCAGCCACACUAUAAAUGGGAAAAAGAGAAAUGGGGUUUCAUUGAGACAUGGGAGACAGGGAGAGGGCCUCAGCAAAGGCAGAUCCAUGGGAAGAGUUUAGUGUUGAAGAUUUCUUUGGAAGGAGCAACUCAUUCUGGAGUACGAAGAAGCAAGAAUCAUCUUUGAAUAAACCCAGCAAAAGAAUGCCACUGAAGAAAUAUUUGGUGUGAUAUUGAGAGGACCAGCUAAGUCCAGACUUCCAGUCAUCCCUCCCAAGAAAGAAGACACAUGAGUGAAGCCAUCCAUUAGGGCUUAUGAAAUCUGAUCAGAU